UUUUUUUUUUCCCCCCCUUCAAAUAGCCUUAUCCAUAUUCCCUUUUUAAGUGCUUUUAUUUAUUACUCCAUUUUCAAAUUUCAAAUUUGGAAAUUUUAGAACCUCUAUUUAAAAUCCAACUUCCCCACUCCUCCUCUUCACAGAUCUAAAUCUCAAUAAUAAUCUCUCUCAUCAAUUCUAGAAUUUUCUUCUUCCUUAUUCUUCAAUGGCGGUUCGAACUGUAUACGGUUUAAUUUUCUUAACAGCAUCUAGUUCUUGCUUUAUCUUCCUAUACCUCCUUCUUCAACCUAUUUUCUACUUCACCGCUUAAUAAGCCGAUCUGAACCGGCCGGUCUGAACCGCCCGAAGAUCAGUCGAUGAACCGGAAGUUUUUACUCGGCGGUCGGUUCGUAGAGGAUUGAAAGUAUGUUAAAUUGUACUUAUACGUUACUUUAUUUUGGAUUUGAAUGAAAAAGUUACACGGCGAUUUGGCCUUUCGUUUUAUUGUUUGGUUUUUGUUUUAAUGGAUCUGGAUUUGUUUUGGAAAAAAUAGCUUUAAUUUGUUUUAUUAAUCAUAGAUUAUUGUCUUAUUUCAUAGCUCUAAUUGUCUAAUUGCAAAGCAAUUAGCUUUAUUCAAUCACUUUUAUUUGUUAGGUUUCUAUUCAUACGAGUUAAUUUGGCUAAUUUUUUUGAGAUAAAUUAAAUUAGAUUAAUUUAAUAUUUUUAAUUUUAAAUCUUUAAAAAUUAUAAGAAAAUAACUAUGAUGAAAAAUACAUCUUAAAAUACGGAUUAAAAUGCAUAGUUAAAGUUAAAGUGAAACGGGUUACUUUACCAUGUUGAAUUUGCUAGAACAAGUUGAUUCAUAAUUUCCUUAAUAAAAGGCUUGCAAAUUUGUGCAAAUCUGUGACAAAAUAUUAUUUUGCUACUUCCUCUAGUCUAAUUUAAGUUUCAUAAUUGAAAUUUGAUAUUUAAACAUCUAAACUUAGAUCGAUAUUCAAAAACUACAUACAAAGUACUAUUCAAUCACAAUUAUUAGCAAGUAUCUAGAGCCAUGUAAAAGGUAUUGGUUAAUUUUCGAAAUUUUAAUUGUGAUAUGUAAAUUAAGAUAAAAGAAGUACCUUUAUUCGUUUUUUAUUAUGAUUAAUAAGAUAAGGAUAAAAAUUGUACAAGAUAAGGAUAAAAAUUGUACGCACUUCGAUUCCGGAAGAACUUUUGAAAUUUUCGAACUUGUUCUUGUGUAUUAAAAUUUUGGCAUUGUAUUGGUUCAAAUGGAACUCGUGAAUGUGAUACCGGUCACGGUUUUGAAAGUGUUUACACGUAAGGUGUUUUGAAAGUGUUUACAGGUAAGGUUAAAGUUUUUGGAAGCGUUUACACAUAAUAGAAUUUCUUUAGAGAAUAUAAGGCAUUUAUGAUCGGAUCUAAGUUUUGAAAGAGGGUUUACGUGAUAGAAUCUCUUCAGAAAAUAAGAGUGUUUACGUGAUAGAAUCUCUUCAGAAAAUAUCAGGCUUUUAUGAAGCGGAUCUUGAGCUGCCAUCCAAGAUCAACAUUGCAGUCAUUCAUAAAAGCAAUUGAAAUUGAAACAUAUUAAUACAAUAAAAACUUACACGCAUUCGUACAUUAAAUUAAUAUUUUUUAUCAUGAUUAAGUAAUUAAAUUAAAUAAAAUAUAUGUUAAUUAAUUAUAAUUAAGUAAUAUAAACUCUAAAUUUGAACAUAUAAUACACAUGUAUUGACUUGAUGCAUAUAUUGGAUGCGUUAAUUUUUAACCUAUAAUACCUAUGAGAACUCUUACUACUACUAUCGUUCUAUUCCAAGGAUAUGUAUUUUCGGAUACAAUUUGAACAACAAAAGAUGAUCUCACAAAAUUGUGUUAUUUUUAUUUCAUGUUAAAGUGUUUAUUCAUGAUUUUAUUUAAUUAAUUUAUAAUUUGAAUAGAAGAAAAUGAUUAGAAUUCUUGGUCAAUGAAACUCUUUUCGAGUACAAUUACAUGGAUCUAGUGAGUUUCACAAAUUUAAGUAUAUUACAUAUGGGGAUUAAGGAAGGGAACGUGAAGAAUGUAUCUUGGGUCUAACUCAACUUCUUCAGGAAGAUUGUCCAAUUUCAUAUAAUGAAACUAAUAAUAACCCAUUUCUUUUAUGAUGUGGGAUUCUUAACAUGCGUCACACGUCCGGAUCUUGUUAACUGAAGUGUGAACAAUAUAAUAUGCAUAUCCAAUAUCAGUAAAUAAAAAAUUGGGAUGGACCUAAUUUUGAUACCAUUUAGGGAUCGUCUGAUAGAGUAUAUAAGAAUAAUGUAAAAGAUUAAUGCAAAAGUUUGUGUAUUGUUAAUGCUUGUAUAAGUAAUGCUUG
rnacentral:lncRNA from 1 species